rnacentral:rRNA from 1 species
UCUCAAAGAUUAAGCCAUGCAUGUGUAAGUAUAAAUAAUUCUACUUUGAAACUGCGAAUGGCUCAUUAUAUCAGUUAUAGUUUAUUAGAAAAAAUGUACUACUUGGAUAACCGUAGUAAUUCUAGGGCUAAUACAUGAAUGAAUCCUCGACUUUGAAGAGGUGUGUUUAUUAGUAUGAAAACCAUAUGCUUCGGCAUAAUAGUGAGUAAUAAUAACCUUUCGUAUCGUAUGUUGAAAUAACGAUAGUUCUUUCAAGUUUCUGCCCUAUCAGCUUUCGAUGGUAGUGUAUUGGACUACCAUGGCAGUA